rnacentral:rRNA from 1 species
UACAGUGGGUGCGAGCGUUAAUCGGAAUUACUGGGCGUAAAGCGCGCGUAGGCGGCUUUGCAAGUCGGGUGUGAAAUCCCCAGGCUUAACCUGGGAACUGCAUUCGAGACUGCAUUGCUAGAGUAUGGGAGAGGGAAGUGGAAUUUCCGGUGUAGCGGUGAAAUGCGUAGAGAUCAUGAGGAAGACCAGUGGCGAAGGCGGGUCUCUGGACAGUUCCUGACACUGAGACACGAAGGCCAGGGGAGCAAACGGG